UGGUGGAGUGAUUUGUCUGCUUAAUUGCGAUAACGAACGAGACCUUAACCUGCUAACUAGUGACACAAACCUUUGUGUUUGUGGGCCACUUCUUAGAGGGACUGUCGGCGUUUAGCCGACGGAAGUUUGAGGCAAUAACA
rnacentral:rRNA from 1 species